rnacentral:rRNA from 1 species
GACGAACGCUGGCGGCGUGCUUAACACAUGCAAGUCGAACGAAGAGCGAUGGAAGCUUGCUUCUAUCAAUCUUAGUGGCGAACGGGUGAGUAACGCGUAAUCAACCUGCCCUUCAGAGGGGGACAACAGUUGGAAACGACUGCUAAUGCCGCAUACGAUCUGACCUCGGCAUCGAGGAUAGAUGAAAGGUGGCCUCUAUUUAUAAGCUAUCACUGAAGGAGGGGAUUGCGUCUGAUUAGCUAGUUGGAGGGGUAACGGCCCACCAAGGCGAUGAUCAGUAGCCGGUCUGAGAGGAUGAACGGCCACAUUGGGACUGGGACACGGCCCAGACUCCUACGGGAGGCAGCAGUGGGGAAUCUUCCGCAAUGGACGAAAGUCUGACGGAGCAACGCCGCGUGAGUGAUGACGGCCUUCGGGUUGUAAAGCUCUGUUAAUCGGGACGAAAGGCCUUCUUGCGAAUAGUUAGAAGGAUUGACGGUACCGGAAUAGAAAGCCACGGCUAACUACGUG